UUUGAAUUUCUUUUUGUUCUACUCCUUAGUUUUUCCAGAAGGCAUCUUCCUCUUCUUACUUUUUGGAGCAGUCUCCUCAACGAUAUAAGCUCCCAUAAUCGUUGAAUUUCCACGAGACUUCUUCUCGACUGUUUUGUUGUCUUCCUCGAUCUUUAAACGUAUCACAAGAUCUUCCAACUUCAUUUCUUUGCGUUUGUGCUUCAUAUAGUUCUGGAAAUCCCUCUAUGAAGGAGGCAAUUUUUCAAUCAUAGCAGCUACUUGAAAUGCUUCAUUCACGACCAUACCUUCAACAAUAAUGUCGUGAAAAAUAAGUUGAAGCUCAUGAACUUGGAUUCCCACAGUUUUGUUGUCUAUCAUUUUAUAGUC
rnacentral:lncRNA from 1 species